rnacentral:lncRNA from 1 species
ACAUUCUGGUACGGUCAGGAAAGCACUAUUUUCUGCGGAUACGUUUAAGAGCCUGCUAGGAUUGAUCAUUUACAACUUAAUCAGAUAUCAUAGCACUAAAAUAUGUGAGAGUCAUUUUUAAUCAUUUGACCACAUAUCAUUAGAGCAUAUUAAAAACUAAAAUAUUACCUCUUGUGUAUAUCCUGUAGGAAUUGCAGUUGAAGAGCUACUCCACCAUGUAAAAAAGAGCAUUCAGAAAUUAACCAAAGGCAUAAAGUACAUGUGCUGUUGGGGAAUCACUAAUAAUGCACUAGCUAGCUUUAGGUACUGUUGUAUUUGUAUAGAUAGGUUUGUGACUUGUGAGUAGGGUUUUCUAAUGAUUCUGUUACUUAUCUAAACAUCUGGUAGGGUAAACCAAGCUGGUGAAUAGACAGAGUUUCUUGUUCUUUUCUAUAGAAAAUUAAGAUCAAUGAAAAGCGAGAUUAAGAUUGCAAUUUGCUGGGUUG